rnacentral:rRNA from 1 species
UACGAAGGGGGCUAGCGUUGUUCGGAAUCACUGGGCGUAAAGGGUGCGCAGGCGGGCAUUUAAGUCAGGGGUGAAAUCCCGGGGCUCAACCUCGGAACGGCCUUUGAUACUGGAUGUCUUGAGUCCGGAAGAGGUGAGUGGAACUGCGAGUGUAGAGGUGAAAUUCGUAGAUAUUCGCAAGAACACCGGUGGCGAAGGCGGCUCACUGGGCCGGAACUGACGCUGAGGCACGACAGCGUGGGGAGCAAAUAUG